GAUGAACGCUGGCGGCGUGCCUAAUACAUGCAAGUCGAGCGAACGGACGAGAAGCUUGCUUCUCUGAUGUUAGCGGCGGACGGGUGAGUAACACGUGGAUAACCUACCUAUAAGACUGGGAUAACUUCGGGAAACCGGAGCUAAUACCGGAUAAUAUUUUGAACCGCAUGGUUCAAAAGUGAAAGACGGUCUUGCUGUCACUUAUAGAUGGAUCCGCGCUGCAUUAGCUAGUUGGUAAGGUAACGGCUUACCAAGGCAACGAUGCAUAGCCGACCUGAGAGGGUGUUGGGCAACAUGGGAACUGAGAAACGGUCCAGACCCCUACGGGAGGCAGCAGUAGGAAAUUUUCCGCAAUGGGCGAAAGCCUGACGGAGAAACGCCGCGGGAGGGAUGAAGGUCUUCGGUUCGUAAAACCCUGUUAUUAGGGAAGAACAUAUGUGUAAGUACCUGUGCACAUCUUGACGGUACCAAAUCAGAAAGCCCCGGCUAACUACGU
rnacentral:rRNA from 1 species